AACGAACGCUGGCGGCAGGCUUAACACAUGCAAGUCGAACGCCGUAGCAAUACGGAGUGGCAGACGGGUGAGUAACACGUGGGAACGUGCCCAAAGGUACGGAACAACUCCGGGAAACUGGAGCUAAUACCGUAUGUGCCCGAAAGGGGAAAGAUUUAUCGCCUUUGGAUCGGCCCGCGUCUGAUUAGCUAGUUGGUGAGGUAAUGGCUCACCAAGGCGACGAUCAGUAGCUGGUCUGAGAGGAUGGCCAGCCACACUGGGACUGAGACACGGCCCAGACUCCGACGGGAGGCAGCAGUGGGGAAUAUUGGGCAAUGGGCGCAAGCCUGACCCAGCCAUGCCGCGUGAGUGAUGAAGGCCUUAGGGUUGUAAAGCUCUUUCGCCGAGGACGAUAAUGACGGUACUCGGAUAAGAAGCCCCGGCUAACUUCGUGCCAGCAGCCGCGGUAAAAC
rnacentral:rRNA from 1 species